UCUAAUGUACACUUUAAUUUCUGAGUCCGUAGCUUCACUAAUUAAAGUCCUACAUUAACACUCUUCUGCCAGAAUCAAAUAAAAAGAAACAAGAUUUACUUGUCUGACACUUGGCUCCUUUUCCUGCCCAUCUAGGCUUAGAUGACCGUAUGAAGGAACUGUGACAUGGUCAGAAGCUGGGGGAGUGAAGGAAAGGAGGAAAAGCAAACGGGCUGCAUAACCUUUAGGCUGCACAGCCUAGCUUGGAAUGACCUUGGGAUGGUUAUUUACCGUGUACCGAGCUUCAGAGACAUAAUGCUAUACCCAUAGCUAUUCCCUGCUAUCUCCACACGGGUAUUAGAAGAUACUGAUUGAAGUCUUGCUGUUUUCUGAGAGCUGACUAAGGACACAACUGUAUUCCCACCUCGUGUUUCAUCUGGAAGUUCUGCACAAGGUUGAGGUCAGUGAACAUCCGAAUUGUGCACAGCGCCGUUUCUAGGUCAGACAGCUC